UACGGAGGGCGCAAGCGUUGUUCGGAAUCACUGGGCGUAAAGCGCGUGUAGGCGGCUUGGCAAGUCGGGUGUGAAAUCCCGGGGCUCAACCCCGGAACUGCAUUCGAUACUGCCUGGCUCGAGUCUCGGAGAGGGUGGCGGAAUUCCCGGUGUAGAGGUGAAAUUCGGAGAUAUCGGGAGGAACACCAGCGGCGAAGGCGGCCACCUGGACGGUGACUGACGCUGAGACGCGAAAGCGUGGGGAGCAAACAGG
rnacentral:rRNA from 1 species